rnacentral:misc_RNA from 1 species
GAUGAAGAACGCAGCAAAAUGCGAUACUUGGUGUGAAUUGCAGAAUCCCGUGAACCAUCGAGUCUUUGAACGCAAGUUGCGCCCGAAGCCAUUAGGCCGAGGGCACGCCUGCCUGGGCGUCACACGUCGUUGCCCCCCCAUCUACUCCUUCGGGAUUGCGGGGGGCGGAUGAUGGCCUCUCGUGCGCCUCGUCGCGCGGUUGGCCUAAAUGCCAAGUCCUCGGCGACGCACGCCACGACAAUCGGUGGUUGCGAAACCUCGGUUGCCUGUCGUGUGCGGUCGUCGCGCAUCGAGGGCUCGAAAAAAUUGCCGGGCUUCGGCUCGACUUUCAACGCGACCCCAGGUCAGGCGGGGUUACCCGCUGAAUUUAAGCAUAUCAAUAAGCGGAGGA